GAAAUGCGAUAAGUAAUGUGAAUUGCAGAAUUCAGUGAAUCAUCGAAUCUUUGAACGCACCUUGCGCUCCUUGGUAUUCCGAGGAGCAUGCCUGUUUGAGUGUCAUUAAAUUCUCAACCUCACCACUUUUUGUAAUGAAAGUUGUGUGCAGUCUUGUAUGUGGGGGUUUGCAGGUCCGCGCCUUGGUGGUCUGCUCCUCUGGAAUGCAUUAGUGGGUUGUGCCCCUAAUCUAUUCGUGUGAUAAUUAUCUACGCGGUGGAUCAGGUUGGCUACUAUAGACCUGCUUCUACCCGUCCGUCUCGGACAACUUUGACAUUUUUGACCUCAUAUCAGGUAAGACUACCCGCUGAACUUAA
rnacentral:misc_RNA from 1 species